rnacentral:rRNA from 1 species
UAGGGAAUUUUCCACAAUGAACGAAAGUUUGAUGGAGCGACACAGCGUGCAGGAUGAAGGUCUUCGGAUCGUAAACUGCUGUUAUAAGGGGAAGAAAAACUUUAGUAGGUAAUGACUAGAACUUGACGGUACCUUAUCAGAAAGCGACGGCUAACUAUGUGCCAGCAGCCGCGGUAAUACAUAGGUCGCAAGCGUUAUCCGGAAUUAUUGGGGCGUAAAGAGUUCGUAGGUGGUCUUGUCAGUCUGAAGUUAAAGCCCGGGCUCAACCCGCCCGCUUUGGAUACUGCAAGACUAGAGUAUUAGAGAGGUUAGUGGAACUCCAUGUGAAGCGGUGGAAUGCGUAGAUAUAUGGAAGAACACCAAUGGCGAAGGCAACUAACUGGCUAAUAACUGACACUGAGGAACGAAA